UACGAAGGGGGCUAGCGUUGUUCGGAAUUACUGGGCGUAAAGCGCACGUAGGCGGAUUGUUAAGUUAGGGGUGAAAUCCCAGGGCUCAACCCUGGAACUGCCUUUAAUACUGGCAAUCUCGAGUCCGAGAGAGGUGAGUGGAGUUCCGAGUGUAGAGGUGAAAUUCGUAGAUAUUCGGAGGAACACCAGUGGCGAAGGCGGCUCACUGGCUCGGUACUGACGCUGAGGUGCGAAAGCUAGGGGAGCAAACAGG
rnacentral:rRNA from 1 species